ACACACUGUACAUGGGCGGAGGGUUCGGAAGCCGAGGCGGCGGCGCGUUCGUUACGGAGGCCGUCGGCAUCUCGAAAGCAUUAGGCGUUCCGGUAAAACUCACCUAUACACGCGAGGACGAUCUCUCGACCGAUCGAUUCCGCCCCUCGUCUUACAUGAAAUUCAAAGCCGGACUCGAUGCCGCAGGCAUGCCGGUGGCGUGGACUGCACGCGUCUCCGCCUCGUCAUUCGCGGGGCUGAACAAUGGGAUUGACCGCGAGGGUGUUGCGGGCAUCAACGACAUUCUGUACAACAUCCCGAACAUUCAGGUGGAAUACCGAGAACCCGGCCUCCCGAUUCCAACCAAUUAUUGGCGCUCCGUAGGACACUCGCAGAACACGUUCUUCACGGAAAGCUUCGUCGAUGAACUGGCACUUGCGGCCGGCAAGGAUCCCGUGGAAUUCCGGCGCACGCUGCUGGCAACCCAGCCUCGAUUGCUCGGAGUCGUCAAUCUUGCCGCAGAGAAAGCCGGAUGGGGCAAGCCGCUGCCGGCAGGACGUGGGCUAGGCAUCGCCGCGGUGAAUUGUUUCGGCAGCUUCAACGCCCAGAUCGC
rnacentral:misc_RNA from 1 species